rnacentral:rRNA from 1 species
GACGAACGCUGGCGGCGUGCUUAACACAUGCAAGUCGAGCGGGGAGCUUCGGCUUCUAGCGGCGAACGGGUGAGUAACACGUGGGCAACCUGCCCCGAUCUCUGGAAUAACCUCGGGAAACCGGGGCUAAUGCCGGAUAUGACAUUGCCGGGCAUCUGGUGGUGUGGAAAGAUUUAUCGGAUCGGGAUGGGCCCGCGGCCUAUCAGCUUGUUGGUGGGGUGAUGGCCUACCAAGGCGACGACGGGUAGCCGGCCUGAGAGGGCGACCGGCCACACUGGGACUGAGACACGGCCCAGACUCCUACGGGAGGCAGCAGUGGGGAAUAUUGCGCAAUGGGCGAAAGCCUGACGCAGCGACGCCGCGUGAGGGAUGACGGCC